AGGUACGCUGUCCACAGUCCAUA
rnacentral:siRNA from 1 species